AUGGUGCCGCAGCACGGCAUCCUCCUCGCCAUGGGCCUCAUAUCCGACCACUUCGGCCCCCUCGUAGCUAAAGUGUGCGACUGCCUCCUCCGUCACGGAGCGCUGCAGCUGCCGGAGAUUGUCCGCCGUCUCAAGCUCCCGCCGGGCCAAGUGAAGAACUCUCUCCUUGUCCUCAUCCAGCACAAUUGCGUUCAGGCCUUCUCAUCGACCAGAGGCAAUAGGAUGGUGACGCUCUACCUGGCCAUCUUCGAUAAUGUCCUGCAUCGGCUGCGCUUCUCAAAGUUCAUCUCUGUUAUCCGUGCAGACAUUCCAGAGUCAGAAGCUCUUAUUGAGGGUUUGCUUCAGAAUGGUAGGCUAACAUUCGACCAACUUGUGGGACGAACAAUCUCUAAAGUGCCAGAAGGCACCAUCCGACCAGCAAGGGAAGAGAUACGAAUAAACUUCAACAGACUUGUGUAUGCACGUUAUGUGGAACGUUGCCCAAAACCUGAACCAUCUUUUGAUCCACUCGGAGAUGAACAGUCUACAUCUGCGAGGAGAAGAGUUCCAAAAACCGCCGAGGAGGUUCUUUCACUUGAGCAGAAAGUUGUCAAUACUGCAAACCUUUCUGACCCAGAAAGAUUUUCUGAGAUCCCAUACAGCGUGGAGGAUGCAUCAAAAACAAAUGAUUGUCCUCAUAACGCAGUUGUUGGUGCUAAGCGGAAACACGGAGCCUUUGAGGUAGAUGAAGAGCUCAACUCAAACAUUGCCGAGAAUGAAGUACUUUGGCGGGUAAACUUUGAUAAAUUUAUAUUCUGUCUAAAGAAGAAGUUUUGUGCAGACCGAAAGAAGCCAAAGCUGAAGGUUGGCACACAUCCUAUCUGGGAGUCAUUUUUCGAAGCUAACUUAGCUGACAGGGAUACAACCAACUCUGUGACAUCGUCAUUAAAUGGUAUUUCGGAGAAAUUAGGACAGAAGGAAGGAGGUGCAGCAAUGACAUUUGAUCACAUAACAAGAGUUCUGGAGGAUUUACAGUGUACUACUACCAGUGAAGAUCCAAAAGAAUUUACUUUUGAUUUACGCAAAAUGGUUGAAGCAUGUACAAAUGAGGAGAUCGAGUCGCUUGUGAAAAAGAAAUAUGGGCAAGAAGCUUUUACAAUCUUUAGGCUAUUGGUCACACAAGGUUGUGCAGUUGAAACAGAUCAAAUUAUUGACACGACAAUUCUUGACAAGCAAAUUGUUCAUUCAACUUUGUACAAACUAUGGAAUGAUGGGUACAUAGAUACAGAGAAAAUCGCUUCGGCAGCAGGAACAGGGUACGCACAGUUUUUUGCAUGGAGAGCCAGAAAUACAUUUCGUGAACAGUUCAUCGAUAAUCUUUACCAUGCUGCUUUGAACUUGCGCCAGAUGGUGAAUUACAUUGCUGAACUUCUAGUCGAGGGUUCGAAGGACGAAACGAAGCUGCGGAACAGAAAGAACAUUUUGAUCCUAGCUCUCACUAGACAUGAUGACUCUCUCAUGCUGUUCCAUGAUUUUUGA
rnacentral:rRNA from 1 species